rnacentral:misc_RNA from 1 species
UCACACUACACGGCAGAGCUUGAUACU